rnacentral:rRNA from 1 species
AUUGAACGCUGGCGGCAUGCCUUACACAUGCAAGUCGAACGGCAGCACGGGUGCUUGCACCUGGUGGCGAGUGGCGAACGGGUGAGUAAUACAUCGGAACGUACCUUAUCGUGGGGGAUAACGCAGCUAAAGCUGUGCUAAUACCGCAUACGCCCUGAGGGGGAAAGCGGGGGAUCGCAAGACCUUGCGCGAUUAGAGCGGCCGAGUCCGGAUUAGCUAGUUGGUGGGGUAAAAGCCCACCAAGGCGACGAUCAGUAGCUGGUCUGAGAGGACGAUCAGCCACACUGGGACUAAGACACGGCCCAGAACCCUACGGGAGGCAGCAGUGGGGAAUUUUGGACAAUGGGGGCAACCCUGAUCCAGCAAUGCCGCGUGAGUGAAGAAGGCCUUCGGGUUGUAAAGCUCUUUUGUCAGGGAAGAAACACCGGCUCUAACACAGUCCGGGAAUGACGGUACCUGAAGAAUAAGCACCGGCUAACUACGUGCCAGCCGCCGCCGUAA